rnacentral:tRNA from 1 species
GCCUGGGUGGCUUAGUUGGUUAAGCAUCCAACUUCGGCUUGGAUUGUGAUCUUGUGGUUCAUGAGUUCAAGCCCCGCAUCAGGCU